GUUGUUGGGAUCUCUGUCUUUUGUGGCGACUCUUUCCGUGCGCAGCUCGGAGAAGUCUUGUGCAUUCCAUCAUCGGAAUCUCGGAAUAUUUGUAUGCUCAAAUAAAAACAGCUGUGCUAACUUGGAAAUGGAUUUUAGGGAUCAACAACCACCCAGGUUACCAACCAGGCCCUCUAACACACCUGACACACACACAUACAAGUCUGGAGAUCCGAACACUUACUUCCUUACAACAGAAAUUCAAACGACAAACACUUUUUGAAAUCAUCGAGACCUAUCUACAAAAAGUCAUAUUUUUGAUCAAAUCCGAGGAAUCUAGGACAAGAGAUCUCUCGACAAGUAGCUCCCUUGACCCGAAACAAUUAAUUAGUCGUACCAGGUCUCUAAUGCAAAAACUACCCUAUAACAUUGGCUCUUAAGGGGGAAAUUAUUAUUUUCCUUCGUAGGACUGUUUCUGGUUUUUAUAGAACAGGUUCUUUCGAUGAUCACGUCAGAACCGUUUACACUUAACGACUAUGUGGCUCAUUAACGUUUUGAACUUGGCCUUAAUAUCGUCUUACGAAGGGUGUUUCGGUUCGAAUUUAAGAACUUACACCGGCACGCUGAAGCAAAACAUCAAUGGGCCUGAUGCCAGAUGUCAUUGUGUACAGUUCAAAAGGGUUUUAUAUGAAAUUUGUUUGUUGACUAUUAUAUUUUUUGCACUUGAGAAACGCGCGCGUUUAUUGUCGCACACAGUUGAUCGGGAAAACAGCGGAAAGAACAGAAAACAA